rnacentral:rRNA from 1 species
UGGGGAAUUUUGGACAAUGGGCGAAAGCCUGAUCCAGCAAUGCCGCGUGUGUGAAGAAGGCCUUCGGGUUGUAAAGCACUUUUGUCCGGAAAGAAAUCCUUGGCUCUAAUACAGUCGGGGGAUGACGGUACCGGAAGAAUAAGCACCGGCUAACUACGUGCCAGCAGCCGCGGUAAUACGUAGGGUGCAAGCGUUAAUCGGAAUUACUGGGCGUAAAGCGUGCGCAGGCGGUUUGCUAAGACCGAUGUGAAAUCCCGGGCUCAACUGGGAACUGCAUUGGUGACUGGCAGGCUAGAGUAUGGCAGAGGGGGGUAGAAUUCCACGUGUAGCAGUGAAAUGCGUAGAGAUGUGGAGGAAUACCGAUGGCGAAGGCAGCCCCUGGGCCAAUACUGACGCUCAUGCACGAAAGCGUGGGGAGCAAACAGGAUUAGAUACCCUGGUAGUCCACGCCCUAAACGAUGUCAACUAGUUGUUGGGGAUUCAUUUCCUUAGUAACGUAGCUAACGCGUGAAGUGACCGCCUGGGGAGUACGUCGCAAGAUUAAACUCAAGGAAUUGACGGGUCAUAGCUG